GGUUGAACCCAGGGGCCUACACCGGGGGGAGCCCCCCAUCUCCGUCACAGGACCCCGCUCUGCCCAGGGGCACGGCUGCCGGUGCUGGUGCUGGAGCUGGUGCCAAGCAUCAGGUCAGGUCGGAGGGGACGGACGGACGGGUGAGCGCGGAGGGAGCGCCUCCGGCCCCAUCCCAGGCUCCCCAUCCCCGUCCCCUCCACCCGAGCCGGGCGUUGAUUUCAAGCCCUGUGCCGGUGACAAGGGCUGCUUCCACCUGGCUGGUACCACUUCUUGCCAAAACUGCCAGCACCGGGGGGACAAGAGGCUUCCCCAGGCUGGGACGUGGGGACUGGGAACCACAGCACAAAGCGAGGAAAUGGGAGCCACAGCGCGUGGGGGGACAUCCCCGGUCAGGGAGGGGGUGACCGUGGCCACAUGUGGGACUGGGGGGGCACCCUGAGAUGACAUCUGGGCACCCUGGGGUGACAUCUGGGCACUAUGGACGAUCUCUGAGCACUCUGGGGGGACGUCUGUAAAUCCAGGGCAACAUCUGGGCAUCUCUGCAGCAACCUCUGGUUGUCCUGGGGCAACAUCUGGGCACCUGGGUGACCUCUGGGCAUCCUGGGGCUGCAUCUGUACAGCCAGGGCAACACCGGGGCACCAUAGAAUGAUGUCGGGGCAUCCCUGGGGCCACCUCUGGUUAUCCUGGAGCAACACCUCUACUUCAAGGGAGACCCUCGGGCCCCUGGAGCAACACCCGGGUGUCCUGGAUGGUCUGUGAGCAUCCUGGAGCAAUGUCUGAGGAUCCAGGGCAACACCUGGGCAGCUCGGGGUGGUGUCUGGGCACCACGGUGCGACACCUGGGUGAGCUGGGGGCACAUGUGGGGAGCCGGGGGGAACAUCUGGGCAGCCCCUCGGAUGUGUUUUUGGGGUGCUGAGGCCUUUGGGGACGUUGGGACUUGGGGAAUUUUAACGAGGGGCAGCAGAGCCCAGGGCAGUGCCCCCUUCUGCUUGGGCCGAGGCUUUUACCCGUUCAGGAGCUGCAGAAAGCAUUUGGUGUAUUUAUGCAAAAAUGAAGGCAUUUGGUGUUAUUUAUGC